rnacentral:rRNA from 1 species
GAUGAACGCUGGCGGCGUGCCUAAUACAUGCAAGUAGAACGCUGAAGGAGGAGCUUGCUCUUCUGGAUGAGUUGCGAACGGGUGAGUAACGCGUAGGUAACCUGCCUGGUAGCGGGGGAUAACUAUUGGAAACGAUAGCUAAUACCGCAUGACAACAGUUAUUGCAUGAUAACUGUUUAAAAGUGGCAACUGCUCCACUACCAGAUGGACCUGCGUUGUAUUAGCUAGUUGGUGAGGUAACGGCUCACCAAGGCGACGAUACAUAGCCGACCUGAGAGGGUGAGCGGCCACACUGGGACGGAGACACGGCACAGAGUCCUACGGGAGGCAGCAGUAGGGAAUCGUCGGCAAUGGACGGAAGUCUGACCGAGCAACGCCGCGUGAGUGAAGAAGGUUGUCGGAUCGGAAAGCUCUGUUGUAAGAGAAGAACGAGGGUGAGAGUGGAAAGUUCACACUGUGACGGUAUCUUACCAGAAAGGGACGGCUAACUACGUG